UUUGGAAUAUUGGACAAUGGGCGAAAGCCUGAUCCAGCGACGCCGCGUGGACGAUGAAGGCCUUCGGGUUGUAAAGUCCUUUUGGCAGGGAAAAAUCUUUUGAUGGUACCUGCAGAAUAAGAGGUUGCUAACUCUGUGCCAGCAGCAGCGGUAAUACAGAGACCUCGAGCGUUAUCCGGAAUCAUUGGGCGUAAAGCGUACCGAUAGGUGGUCUUGUAAGCCAGAUGUGAAAGACCCAAGCUUAACUUGGGGGUUGUCAUUUGGAACUGCAAGACUUUGAGGGGCAAAGAGGAAGCUGGAACGAACGGUGUAGUAGUGAAAUGCGUUGAUAUCGUUCGGAACACCAAUAGCGAAGGCAGGCUUCUGGGUGCCACCUGACACUGCUAGGACGAAAGCGUGG
rnacentral:rRNA from 1 species